GCCUUCGUGGUGUAGUGGUCAGCACGCUCGACGCGUAACCGAGAGGUCCGUGGUUCGAUUCCCGGCGGAGGCG
rnacentral:tRNA from 1 species